GGGGCGGUGGUCUAGAAAUUACUUCAACUAUAGCUUGAUCUACCUCAAUCUUUGUCUUGAGUAUGAUAUGUCUUGGCAUAAUCCCUUCCUAAUAUAAAGUCUGAUAUUUUUUUUUAAACUAACAUUAAAUCAGUCUCCAUACAUCAUUUUAGUGCUGCAGAUAGAUUUGGAGACGGUCCUCGAAAGUAGUGUCGAACACAGAG
rnacentral:lncRNA from 1 species